rnacentral:misc_RNA from 1 species
GAAAUGCGAUACGUAAUGUGAAUUGCAGAACUCAGUGAAUCAUCAAAUUUUUGAACGCAAAUUGCGCUAGUAGUAAUACUAGCACACUUGUUUGAGUGUUGUUUAAUAAAAAUACAUAUAAAAUAUGGAAAUUAGUAAUCUAUUUUAAUUGAUUAUUCAAAUAUUAAUAUAAUAUAAUUUUAACAACAUUAAAUAUAUAUAAUUCUUAAUAUCAUAUUAUCAACCUCAAAUCAAGUGAGACUACCCGCUGAAUUUAA